GCGGCUGCGGGGGCGGCAGGGGACAGGCGGUCGGUUCCCGCCGCGGUGGCCCUGAGCGCCUCCCGUCACCUCCCCCUCCCGCGCCCCGCCCGCGCCUCACCUGUCACCUGUACGCGUCGCAGGCUCUGCAAGUGCCUCACGGUCAUCUCCAGGAUGUCCGCUUUCUCCAGCUUCGAAUGGCGGGAGCUCUGGGGACAGGGACGGUGUGGGCGGCUGGCAACACAGCGGCGCGGCGCGCCGAGGCUCCCGGCACCCGCCUCCCCUCCGCCCCUCGAUCUCACCUCCCGACCCCGACUCACAUCCUUCCUGAAGGCAUCCAGAACGAGGGUCUUGAGCUGCGCUAGGCUUUCGUUGAUGCGCGCUCGGCGCCGCUUCUCCAUGACCGGCUUGGAGGACUGCGGGCCGGGCUGUGGCUGAGUCCCGCGUGCGUCCGCCCCACCCCACGCCCCCCACCCCGCGCCCGGCAGGUCCCCACCUUUCGGUGUUCCGCCACGCUCCGGGGCUUAGCCGGCGCUCCGGCCGGCGGCGAGGCUCUCGGCUUCCCCGGGGUCUCCGCGGGCAUGGUGCGCCCCCGCGCCUCCGGGCCCGCGCGGAGCGUCGCCGGCCGCCGGGCUACUUAAGGCGGCGCGGCCGCAGGGCGUGUGAACUCGGCUCCGCAUUCUUUCCCACGCUCGCGCCAGCCAAUGAGCGGCUGCGCUCCCCCUCCCCGCUCCCCCCAGCACACUCGCGGGCUGCGCGCGGGGCCGCCCGCCCCCGGCCGCGGCCCCCGCCAAACGUCAGUCAAGCCUGCGCCCCGGGCCCGCGACAAAGGCCACUGGAGGCGCCCUGCCCGCGCCCGCCUCCAGCUAGGCCGGGACGACGCGGGAAGGGCGCCUGCCCCCGCCUCUGCAGCCGCGGCCGGAGCCGCACGCCUGCGCCGGGCCUCUCCGGCCCGCCCCGGGCAGCGGACCCCGCCCCGCCCCCCUCCCCGGGCGGGGCGGAGUCGCGAGGCCCUCACUGAAGCCCAGCGGAGUCGGGGUGGGGGUGGGGCGCGGAGUUCACGGUGGGCGGCGCGGGAAAUCUGAAAGGAGAAUUCUCCAGGGGAAGUGGGUCAGACGCCCCACCCCCGCCCGUCCCGGGAUUGGCGAGCCUUAGUCCACGGGCCUCCCGUUUUCCUCCGCCAUCGCCAGUCCCCACCAGGGCCUAGGGUCUCAUCUGACCUGCCACGCGCUUAGCCUCCCGGCGUCCCCACGGCCCGCACACCUCCUCAAGGCCUGUGACACAGUGAACACCAGCCACUGGGCAGGACAGAGGUCCGCUGCCCAAGGUCAUGAGGCAGGCAGGGUGGCGUCACGGGACAUUUAAAUUGUGACAUAGAACCAAUGAGGGUGCUGCUGCAGGUAGAGGGAUGUCACCAGUCACGCAGGAAGAUGUAAGGAUGUCACCUGGUCAGGCUGGCGAUGCCACCAGAUAAUCAGAGGUGAUAUCUCUGGUGAAGGUACAUGGUGAUAGCCCAGACAAGGGGAUGUCAUGGGGCUGGUGAUGUCACAUUGGUCUAGAUUACCCAACAGCAAAGUAGGGCUCACAAAAAAUGAGGAACAGUUACUAAAAUCUGCUUAUUUCAGGGGUGCUGGGGGCUCAGUCAGUUGACCGUCUGACUUCGGCUCAGGUCCUGAUCUCGCCUUAGUGAGUUCCAGUCCCGCAUGGGGCUCUGUGCUGAUGGCUCAGAGCCUGGAGCCUGCUUCUGAUUCUCUCUCUCUCUCUCUCUCUCUCUCUCUCUCUCUCUCUCUGCCCCUUCCCUGCUCAAACUCUGUCUCUGUCUCCGUCUCUCAAAAACUAAAAUAACACAUUAAAAAAUUGUCUCUUUCUCUUAAAAAAAGAUGUGCUGUUUCAAAGUGACAUAGUGGGAAAAACAGAACUAUGUUUAUCUUCCUGUUCCAUAUUGUUUUCAUUCUGGGGGCUUUUUUGGUGGGUUUUGUUCUGGUUUGGCUUUUUGUUUUUUGUUUGGUUUUUGGUUUUUUAAGAUUUUAUAUUUAAGUAAUCUCUACACCGAAGGCGAGACUCAAACUCACAAACCAGAGAUCAAGAGUCGCAUGCUCUACUGACCAAGCCAGCCAGGAUUAUUGGGAAGGUAAACGAGACCCUAUUCUGAAAGCGCGCAGCACGUAGAGAGAACUGGGGCCGCACCCCCGCUAUCUGUAUGGUCUUGUCUCUCUGGGCCAUUGUCCCUCAGACUGCCUCUGCAAGGAAGCACAGACUGGUGCCAUGGAAAGCCCGCAAGGAGAGGUCCCAUGGAAAGGCCUGGCGUGGGUAUUGUAGCCAAUAGCCCAGUUGUCUCAGCAAACACGUGAGUGAACCCCUAACCCGAAGUUGCCAUGCCACCCACUUUAUGUUUUCCCAGCUGCCCUGUGUGCUCUGCUCCAAUUGUUUUUAACUUUUUUUAAUAGUUCAUUUGUUUUUGAGAGAGAGAGAGAGAGAGGGAGCGAGUGAGCGCAAGUGGGGGAGGGGCAGAGAGAGAGGGGGACAAAGGAACCGAAGCAGGCUCUGUGCUGGCAGCAUAGAGCCUGAUACGGGGCUCAGACUCACGAAUCAUGUCAUCAUGACCUGAGCUGGAGUCAGAUGUUUGCCUGACUGAGCCCCCCAGGCACCCCUCUGUUCCAAUUCUUGAUUCACAGGACAGUUGUUUACUAUGACAUCUUGGGGUCAUUUGCUACAGUAGUAGGAACUGGGAUAGCUGGAUGGACCAAGCCCUGGACCCCGGGAGAGGGGCCCUUUCCUCCCACCCACCUCUUCCUCGCUGUCCUCAUUCCCUAUUUUCUUCAGCAUUCUUAAUUUUUUAAAGUUUAUUUAUUUAUUUUGAAAGAGUGAGAGAGAGCUCGCGUGCGUGCACGAGAGAGGGACAGAGAGAGAGGGAGAAAGAGAAAAUCCUGAGCAGGCUCUGUAUCAGCACAGAGCCCGAUGCAGGCCUUGAUCUCAUGUGAGAUCAAGGUCUGAGCCGAAACCAAGAGUCAGAUGCUUAACCGACUGAGCCCCCCAGGCGCCCCUCCAACCCUUACAGAGGCUCAGUGGUUUUGAGCCCUGGCUUUCCAUCUGAUGAGGUGCUUCUUGGAGCCAUCAAAGGUCAGCUGUCUGUCUUUUGUACCCAGGCCCAAGUGGGCCAAGCCCCAGGUGGCUGAUGGUCCAGCGGGCAUCUCUGGGGCCCACUGGUGGUCGUGCGGAGUGGGGGGGGGGGGGCGGCCAAAGCAAGGUAGUCAGUGUGGGAGUUUGUGGGGAAAGACAGAGGUAUCUUCUAGUCCAGACCUGGGACUGCAGCCUUGUGGGCAGGAGGUCUCACAUAGGCCACUGUGAACAUUCCACAUGACAGUAUUCAGCCAAUGUCCCUUGAGGGCCUGUGAAGUGCUGUCUACCAAUAAACAGCCCCAUCCCCCUCCACCACAAAUUUUGACAUGGGGUUAACAACUGUAUUUACACCCUGCCCCUCACAUUCCUCUGGCGCAUGGAUUCCAGAACAUCAGAGACACCACAGACCACCACCUGCCCCUGUCCCCCCCCCCCCCCCACCGUGUACCCUCCUCUCCUGCCAAGAGGCAGCAGCCCAUUGGCUCAGGCAGCUGGGACCAGAGCUGUCCCAGGCUAGAACUGUUGCAGUUUCUCUCCUGCAAGGUGGGAGUUAGGGGCUGAGUCUUUUAUUGGUGUUUGCUGGAAUUGUAAAGUGACAGAGGCCAGGGCUGAUGGGAUCCAGGAUGCAAGAUAGAGGUGAGGGAAGCAUAAUGCCCAGGACCCAGGCAGAGGCCAGGAGCACAGGCUGCGGACGCUGUUUUGACAUUCCAGGACAACCCUGAUCUUCUGUGGCCAGAGGGGCAUCUUCCUCCCUUACAGGACCUGGAACUGACACACCUUCCCUCAGCUCCCAAAUGCUGCCCCCCAGCACCCGCUGAGUGACAGCACUGACCCCCAGCACCCGCUAAGGGACAGCACCGCCCCCCAGCACCUGCUGGGUGACAGCACCGCCCCCCAGCACCCGCUGAGUGACAACACUGACCCCCAGUACCCGCUGAGUGGUCAGGGUGUUAUCAGUGCUUUCACCCAAAUCUGAGCACUGACACCUCUCUACAUUUGGGAGGUGACAGAAGCCCCUCCAAGCUCUGUCUGCAUGGGACGCUGCCUGGCCCACUGGCUCCCCCGGGUGCUGCUGUUCAUUCUUCUUGGACCGCUGCACCUGGUGAGAGGUGAGCUUCCUUGUGCCUCCUCUUUGGCACUUCCAGACCUGUCUCUUUCUUAGCACCAACGCCCCAGAUUUGAGCCUCAUAUCACCAGAUCUUGUUGAAGUUGUCUGCAUGCCUGGGGGCUUCCCUAAAAUCCUUCCUGUUUUACUCCUGAUUCCCUGUCACUUUCCCCAACCACUCCUGUCGUAGUUCCUGGUGGUCUCAGAAUCCACAGGGGAUUCUCCAACCUUCUGUACAUCCUCCCCUUCAGCAGUCCUGUCACCUUCCCAGC